rnacentral:rRNA from 1 species
UGCGUAGGCGGCUUUUUAAGUCGGAUGUGAAAUCCCUGAGCUUAACUUAGGAAUUGCAUUCGAUACUGGGAAGCUAGAGUAUAGGAGAGGAUGGUAGAAUUCCAGGUGUAGCGGUGAAAUGCGUAGAGAUCUGGAGGAAUACCGAUGGCGAAGGCAGCCAUCUGGCCUAAUACUGACGCUGAGGUACGAAAGCAUGGGGAGCGAACA